UAUGGCCAUAUCACGUUGAAACACUGGUUCCGGUAUGAUCACUGAAGUUAAGUAUCUUCGAGCCUGGCUAGUAAUCAGAUGAGUGAGCGUUCUUGGAUGUGCGGGUGAUGUAA